rnacentral:lncRNA from 1 species
GGGGGGGCAGUGGAUCCCAGGGGAUCUACGGGAUCCCGGAGGAUCCCGUGGAAGCCCCACGGGGCCCGGGACCCCCCCCCGUGUCGGCCCCGUUCCCUUCCCGAACCCGCUGGUCCCACGUCCUCGGGGCGGCCUCCAGCAGCCUCAGGGUGUACCCCAACUCUUUGGGGUGGCCCCCCGCGUCCUUGUGGCGACCCCAAUGUUUUUGGGGUGGCCCCAAUGUCCUCGGGGUGGCCCAUAAUGUCCUUGGGGUGACCCCCACGUCCUUGGGGUGACCCCGAACAUUCUUGGGGUGUCCCCCCACAUCCUCAUGGUGGUCCCCCAACAUCCUGGGGUGCCCCCCACGUCCUCGGGGUGGCCCGUAAUGUCCUUGUGGUGACCCCAGUGUUUUUGGGGUGGCCCGAGUGUCCUCGGGGUGACCCCAAACGUUCUUGGGGCGACCCCCACGUCCUCAUGGUGCCCCCCAACAUGUCUUGGGGUGACCCCCCAGGUCCUCAUGGUGGUCCCCCAACAUCCUGGGGCGGCCCCAAUGUCCUCGUGGUGGCCCCAAUGUUUUUGAGGUGGCCCAAGUGUCCUCGGGGUGACCCCAAACAUUCUUGGGGCGACCCCCCACAUCCUCAUGGUGGUCCCCCAACAUUCUGGGGUGGCCCCCACGACCUCGUGGUGGCCCCAGUGUUUUUGGGGUGGCCCCAGUGUCCUCGGGGUGACCCCUGUAUCCUCAUGGGGGUCCCCCAACAUCUUGGGGUGGCCCCCGCGACCUCGUUGUGUCCUCCUGGUGGCCCCAAUGUUUUUGGGGUGGCCCCCAAUGUUUUCGGGGUGACCCCCAACAUUUCUUGGGGUGACCCCCCAGGUCCUCAUGGUGGUCCCCCAACGUCCUGGGGUGGCCCCCAGUGUCCUCGUGGUGUCCCCAGUGUCCUCGGGGUGGCCCGUAAUGUCCUCGGGGUGGCCCCCCCGUCCUUGGGGUGCCCCCCCGGUCCUCGGGGCGUCCCCCCCACGUGCCGCCGUGUCCCCGCAGAGCUGGAGGUGCUGAGCGCGGCGCUGCCGCGGCUGCAGGGCCCGGUGCUGGAGCUGGCCGAGGGCGCGCGGCGGCCGCUGGAGGAGCUGAUGAUGGAGGGCGACCUCCUCGAGGUGACGCUGGACGAGGCCCAGAGCAUCUGGCGCCUGCUGCAGGC